UUUCAAUAUUUUUCACUUUAAAAACAUGCCAGCAAAGUUGAUCGGUUCUUAUCUUUUGUUUCCUGGCAGAAUGUAGUUUGGAAUGAUUUGUUAAAUAUUAAUUCUGUUUGCCAAAAAAAAAUUGUAAUUUUGUAAGGGUAUUUGCUAUGUUCAUUUGGAGGUGGAAUCUACUGCUGUUUCCUAUGAUGCAGGAAUUAUAACUAUUUG
rnacentral:lncRNA from 1 species